rnacentral:tRNA from 1 species
AAGAAAUUAGUUUAAAAAAAACAAUAACUUGUCAAGUUAUAAACACUAUUAAGUAUUUCUUA